AGAGCAGUGACUACCAGCAAAGUAUAAUAAAAUGUUUGGAUCUUGUUUCAUUUCUAUUCCCAUUUUUCCCUCUAACAUGCUGGUUCACACAAACAAAUGCAGAGCCAAUAUUGUGUUGCUGUAUACUCAGAAUGUGUUAAUUAAUCUCUCCAGUGAUCCUUUAAUGGAUUAAGAUACUUUGCUUCUGAAACCAUGUUUUAAUUAUCAUGCAGUCCUUCCUCAUGAGAAUUAUGAUUGCUGUGAAUGCUUGCCAGCAUGGGACACUGAGUUCUUCCAUGAGCAUGUACCACAUCUGUGCUUUUCUUGUCUUUAUCUCUUCCCUUCCUUUUUCUUAGACAGAGCCUGGUUAAUAGAGCCAAGGAAGGUCCAGAAGCUUCAGGAAAAAAUAUACUUUGCACUUCAGCAUGUGAUCCAGAAGAACCAUCUUGAUGAUGAGACUUUGACGAAGUUAAUAGCCAAGAUACCAACCAUUACUGCACUUUGCAACUUGCACGGAGAGAAACUACAGGUAUUUAAACAGUCUCAUCCAGAUAUAGUGAACACACUGUUUCCUCCCUUAUAUAAGGAGCUUUUCAAUCCAGACUCAACCACUGGCUGCAAGUGAAGGGGAUAAUAAAAUUUUCACGUAGUCAUGGAAUGCAUCACUGUUAAGACAAAAAGAAAUGUUUUCAUAAUGAACUUAUUAAAAAUGUCACUACUCCAACACUAGGAAUGUUCUGCACUUAAUAGAAUUAUUUUUCACCGCUACAGUUUGAAGAAUGUAAAUAUGCAACUCUGAGUGGGGAUGUCCUUUUUCUCUUUUCUUUGUUUUUGUUUUUGUUUUUUUUUUUUAACUGACUAUGAGUAUAAAAUAUAGUACACUGGGUGUUACCUUUUUUAAAUUUUAUUUUAUUGGGAUAUGUUUUGAGAGACAACUGUUCAUAGAAUUUUAUUGUAGAUAUAAAUGAGAAUAGAGCAGUACUUUGCAGUAUUACUCUUGCUGUUUAUUGUUCAAAUAUAAUUUAAGAAAAUUCCACUUAUUAGACUUGCCUAUUUCUAUGUUUUUAGAUAGUUUAAUGCAUGUGGAAAUUUGUAGCUGUCUUGGAAAUUAUUGUGCGUGUAUGAAAUACGUAUAUAUAUGUAUAUGUGCUAUAUACUUAUAUAUAUAUAUAUGUAUGUAUUAUAUGCAUACAUGCUGUAGCUUAAAAGUCCCAUGCCUACUUUUAAAGGAUGCUCAGCCAGGCUGUCAUGCAUUUCUUGCUCUCCAAGUAAUGUAUUAGAUUUAUUUUGGGCAAUCACAAUUUACUUUGCCAGUCAGAGUUAAAUCAUCAACUGCCAAUGUGUAAUGACAGGAUCACUCCUGAGACGUGUAAUGUAGUGCAUGUGUGCAGUCUGUAAAUGAAACAUCAGGAAUGUAUCAAUGGUGCAAAAGCCUUGUCUGGAUGAUUUUAGUGGAGAGAAGAAAAGCUUUUUUGGAAUUCUCCCUGUCACAGGGAUACAGCAUAUAAAAAAGUGAACGUUUUAGGACAUGAUGUCAUUGAAGUGUCUGAAGCACUGAAUAAAAAUCUAGACUGUCCCACCCAUACAUUUUUCUGAUUCCGCAAAGGAUUUUAUUUUAUAUAUACUUCUUUGAAAAGUAAUUUCAAGACUUGGCUUGGUUUUUGCUUACCUCAAUGGAAAGACUUAGUGAACUCAGCAAAAACCAUAGGAAGCCUAAAAUGUAGCUCUGAGGGAGGGAGGAGGAAAGUCAAAGCAAGCAAUGGCCAUGGUUACAAAGAUGAACAUAACUAUCGCUAUUUCUGACGUAGCCUCAUCUAGAUGAGACUGAUGGUUUCCAUUCCACAUAUAUGUUACAUGCACAUACACUUACGUGUGUAUAUAUAUACACAUACAUAGGGAUGAUUUUAUGCUCUCUUCAGGAGGCAAGCAAAAGAUUCAGGCUAUCUUUUUGUCUCUCCCUGAAUUGAUUUUAUGUGCAUUUAUUUGUUUGCAAAACCGAAGGUAAACAUAGGAGGAAGUUAAGAAGCAUAGACUACUACAAACCUAAAGUUGGGGAUUUAUUAAAUUUAAUUGCAGUCAUGAUUAACAUAUUUGGAGUCUACCAGAGAUAAAAAACAUAAACUUUUUGCCUGUGGAAGAACAGGUAUUCAAUUCCUGUCAUGGCUCUGUCUUUAAUGUCACUUCUACCUGUUGUGAGCUUUUCCUGAGAAGGCCCUUCAGGGGACACCAGCAGAGGAACUAGAACAGAAAUAAGAGGAUGCAGAAAUAAGUGAAAAAGAAAUGAAGCAAAGGCAGGGCAAAUAAAGAAAAGCAGAUGCAUUUCUUUAUUUCAAAUCACAUUGAAGGCAAUGCAAGCUGAGGCCUGGUGAGGAGGAGCAUGUUGGCAGGCAGGCUGAAGACCCCACUGUCUGCCAGGUCACUCCCAGAGCAGUGCUCCUGGGACCAGUGGGGACACAGCUGGGCCUUAUGGUGGGUGCAGAAACUUGGCUUGUGGCAGUGAUAAGCUUAAGUCCUCUGGCUUUUCCAGGAGACCACACUGCUCCUGUCUCAGUUCAAUGCUCCGUUUUCUGCAUCAUCUAGUAAUUCAAUGCCUAUUUCAGAUAAAAUUGAUAUGGCCAGCCCUCCACCAACCAGUUUGCAAGUAUACAUACACUGUUUUAGCUCUCCCAGACCUGAUACAAGAGCAGUUAUGAUCUCACAGCUAAUAAAUAUUUAAGUCCAUUCCAACUUAUAUGUAUAUAACCUGCACAAGCUAGUUAGUUGUGCUGAGAAUAAUUUUAUUGUGAACAUGACACAAUCUUCCAAAUUACUAGGUCCUAUACAAAAUAAAUCUCUAAAACACCUUUUUCUUCCACCAAAUUCAGAGCAUGUUUUCUGAUUAUUAAAUUGAUAUGUCUUCAGUUAACAUGGUAAAACAUUGCUCUUGAUGCUUCUUUACAGCACUUAGUAAACCCUGACUGGCAUCCUCUUAGAAGGUGAUUUAUCUGCUUGCAGCAAAGCUGUGAAUAGGACUCCAAAUUCCACCUCUUUCUAAUAUCAAAAAAAAAAAAAAAAAAAAAAAAAAAAAAAAAAAAAAACUAACCAUAUUUAUGCAUGGUCAGCUUGAACGUACUUGGAAAAAAAAAAAAAAAGUCAAACUGAAUCCCACAAGAGCUCAAUUUUAAGUGCAGGGGAUUCAUGUUUUUCUUCUCUUUUUCAACAAGAACAUAUCUAUCUAUCUAUCUAUCUAUCUACUACCUAUCUAUCUAUUCAUUUGAAGUCUUUUAUAAACUCAUUUUCUGUAUAAGUAUCAUAUUUAGCUAAGCACCAGGAUAUAGAAUGUGAUGAAUAUUACUGUUCUUAUUGUUGAUAAAUGAAGUUUAUUAUGUUUAGAAACAAUCCACAGUUAUGCAUUACAUCUUGAAAAUAUUUUAUUCUUUUCAAAUAAGCUAAUCAGUCUUUAGCUGACAUUAUGACUUAAGCAGGAUGGCAAAAUGGACAUCACCAGUGAAAAUGACAUAUUAUUUAGUAAUUAUCCAUGGGGAAUUUCAUCCUUAAAGCGCUAUUCUUUAAUCACUGCAAUCUCUUGACCUCUUCAGUAAAAUUUGACCAAAUCAUUAAGGAUAACCCUUUUCUAAAGAUAAAGAAAUGAAGAUAAAGAAGUUAAAUGACUUACCAGAAACCACAGAGGUAGCAGUGUACAGUCUGGGGUGAGAAAUGGAUUCUUUCCUUUUGUCGUAAAACCAUAAAGAAUCUGGUAUGCAAAAAUCCUCGUUGUCAUUGAUAGGCAAUAGCCUGUACAAACAAUUACAAAUAUUGCUGAACGAAUUAUUAUCUUAAAACAAUAACUAUCAAUAGCUUGUUCUAAUUUUGUUUCUACUUUUACAGAAUUUGAGGAAGUAAUUCUGUUAUUUAUUUGAAAAACAGAAAAUUAUUCUCAUACAUUAUUUAUUUGUGCUAAUUAGAGUUGAUAACAUUUAUUUAAUUUUCUGUGAUUUUGGACUGGCCACAUAGGUCAAGUAGUACUUCUCCUGCCCUUUGUUAACUGAGUAUAGAAUAACAAAAAAUUACCACAUGCUACAGGCUGGAUUUUUGUUGUCAUUGUUGAUACAAAGUCAUUUGUACACAAAUUCUCAAUAUUGGAUUUUGUACGUUCCAGUUAUCCAAGUAAAUAAUCACAUAGACCACUCACAAAAUGCAUUUCAGACAAUAUUGAGACAAUAUUGGUGCAAUGUUUUAUUUCUUGUUAGCUUUCAUUAGUCUGCAAUAAUAUCUGGAGCCCUUCAGUCAAAUCUUUAGAACUGGAACUUGUCACAUCUGCUCCGUGUAGUAAUUGGUUACGUUUGUUAAUAUUUUUAGUGACAAGCUCAUCACACAGGACACAAUUUUUAAUGAUUGAUGAAUUCUUGGUAUUUAACAAACAGAUAUUUAAAACAUAUAUUGAAUCUUCUAGAAUUGCUUUCAGAUAAUUGAACCACAUUGAUCUAAAUUUUCCUUGGCAUCAAGCAGGCAGAUGUAGACUGUUUGUUAUACUACCACAGAGACUUCACUUUGGUGUAAAUGUCACUCUAGCCAGCUCUUUGAAUAAAGAAUUAAUUCCAAGAGUCAUAUUUUCUUCUAAUGGAAAGAAUGCUUUAGUGAUUGCUAGGGAAAAAAAUAAAAUAAAAUAAAAUAAAAAAGAAAAAAAAUCAACAUAAAAAAACAAGGUAAUAGAAGGCAUUCAGUUGAACCAACUAGUUUCCAAAAAACAAUGUGUAUUUUAAGAUUGCUUUGUGAUAGGCAACAUUUAGGAAUUGAUUUUGCAAGUUGCCAAGCUCCCUGAGCUCUAACUAGGUCUGCUAAAAACAGAGGCAUCUCAGCACCACACAGAAGGUGCUCAACUCCUCACAAAGUCAGACCUUUGAUGUUAAGAGGUCCCCUUUGAGCUUUGUGGAGCACAGUCAGAUGUCAUCAUACUUGCUCUUUAAUGCUUUUCCUUCACACUUGCUGCUGUUCAUUUUUGCUUCAUUUCACAGGGACCAGUUUAUUCUCUCAGUUGUGCCUUGAGCACCAAUGCUGUCUCAAUGUCUGUGCAAGGUUAUGGUGCUCCAGUUGAAGCAGCUACUGGGUUUGCCUGUGAAUAUAAGCUUUAUUAUAUGACUUUCUUUGUUCGUUUUAAUGGUAGCAGCUUGCACAGGUGUACACUUUAAUCCUUUGGGUUAAUUUUGCUGGUAUUUCUGACAUACAAACUUCUACACAAAGAGGAUGCAAAGCUGAGCAAAGCUCACAUGCUGGCCCCUCAACCUCCCACCACUGGGCUGUAGGAGCUGCUCCAAGGCUGGAGCACUCUGCAAAGCAGUCAGGCAGCACAGCUAGAGAAGUGCAGCUGAUUAUUACAUUCCCCACUGUAAAGCUGUGCUACAAAGCACAGAUGAGACACAUCCAGGCCCCUUGCAUCUUCCUUCCCUCUGACUCUGCAUUGAUUGUGCCAUUUCCAGAAGGACCAAGGUCCAGCCUGGAAGCAGAUUAUUUUCAGAGCCAUUGUCUAUUAGACAUCAUAGGAAUAUAGCACUGCACAAUUGGACCAAACUGAAACAUGGCACAAUCUUUUUUAAGUACAUGUGAAAUGGAAACCUGAGAUGGCUUUCUUUUCCUGACAGUAACAGAGUAUACACACCUACCAAGCUAUCCCAGCACUUUCUGCCUCCAUUCUGGAGACUUACUUCUAUCUCUGAUAUCCAUUACAAGCAGCAUGUUGGAGACCCAGUCCUUUCUUUUUUAUGUUUCAUGCUUUGUAAAUGACAAUCACUGCUUGAUGCAGAUAUUGCACUGUAUGCCACUCAGGGAUGUUUCAUUAUUAAAACUAGCUAUAUAAGUAUAAUGGUGAUAAUGAGGAAGAGAACACUAGAGGCUUUGAAGGGCAGUGGUUGAGCUGCCCAAAUGAGCACAACCCAGACAAGGCUUUCAAGCCAGUGAAAUAAUAUUGUUAUAAACUGUUAUAAACUGAAUUCACUGUCAGAGUUUCCUCAGCUUGGUGCAGGAUUCACUUAACCUAUUGUUUCACAGUUAGUGGAGCACUACUGACCGGUCAGUUUAUGGUGUUAAGUCCUUUUGGAAACAAAAAUGCAAGCAAGCUCUCUAUGAGUUACUGAAUUUAGGCAAUUGACAAAAGAAAGUGCUGUUUAAAGGUACUGAGUUUAGGUACCGCUAAAGUGAGCUCAUAUUCAGAAUUGCUGCAGGUGUGUAAGACAAAAGGUUAAGAUGUGGAAUAAAUGAUAAUGUCAACAAUGACAGCAACAGUUUUGCUGAGCUACCACAUGGAGAAAUGCCUAUAAAGAUCGAAUAGUAGAAAAUUAAGUGGCUAACAGCUGCCCUUUCCUCUCAGGGAUACACAAAGUCACAGCUACCCCCAGGCCUUUGUAGCAAUGCUUCUCCAUAACAUCACCAGUCCUUUUCUCAUCCCAAGGGUAAAAAAAUAAAUAAAUAAAUAAAUAAACAAACAAAUAAAUAAAUAAAUAAAUUCAACUUUUAAACUGCAUUGGUGAAAAAACUCCCAUUUCCUAGUAAUGAGAGAUGAGAAAUGCAUUUCUGCUAAUCCCUAGUUUUACUAGCUUUCCACUAAAUAUUUUCAUAGACCUACCUUUACAAGAACUCAUACAAAAAGGUACAUUUCAGGGGAUUAUCUUGCCAGCCAUUGAUUUAAUUUCAUUUCUCCAACCAAUAGGUUUUCCUCAGCUCACAUAAUGACCAUUGUUGCUAUUAUUUUAGUGAGUAUGUAUUAAUUUUUACCCUUUCCAUCUUCUGAAAUCACUACACCUAGAGAUGGGUGGGCAACCACAUCAGGAGUUGGAAAGAGGAGGCCAAUAUCCCUAUGCAUAAAGGCUUUCAUAAUAUUAUUCUUCACUGUCCCUAUCCCAUGGCAACUUUAGUUUCAAUUUUCAGGUUGCUGGGAGCCAUGUCUAAAUGGCUAAAAUUCUUGCUAGCAUGAUAACUACCCAUUAAAAGAACAAUCUUCUGGCCAAAGAACCUUGCCUCUCUUUUCUUCUCCUUUUACUCUUAGUUCAUAAUGAAUGAGGCCUGGAGUGCUGUAUGACUCACUUUUGCUCUUUCUCAAAGAUGACGUUCACCUGCAGUCUGCAAGGAAGGCUGCACCCAGUAGACAGGAAGCAGGUUCCUUCCUCCUCUUCCUCCCAGCCUCCAUGUCCUCAUUUAGCUGUACCUUCUCUGCCUGUGUUGUCCCCAGAAGUCAGACUUAUGGGAAUAAACCCUAAAUUUACCAUCCCAGAAAUGGUCUGCAACAGACCACUUAACUAAAAGAGCCAAUUGUAUAUGCAGUCUAAACUGCAGACAAAAACUGUUGCGAUGUAAAAUUUCUCCAGUGGUAACUCAUGGAUCAGUAACUCACUUAAAAAGGCAGCCCAAAUGUUCAGUGACAUAAUGGAUGUGUCAGUGUCAUGUAAACCAUCCUUCCGUUUUGUGUGUGCUGACAGAAUAAAGCAAUGCACAAAACACACGGGGAAAGGAAGGAUAUUUCCUGGGUAUUACGGCAGGCAGUGAGGGUAAUACUGCUCACAGUGAUUUCAGUAACACAAUGUACUACAUUUGCAUAAUUCCAUCAUCCUCAUAAUUCAAGCACAGUACAUGGGGAGAGAAAGAAAACAUCAUUGGAUAUAGCAGCAAUAAAUAAAUUAUAAGUGUUUCUUUGUAAUCAUACAUGCAGAAAAUGUUUGCUUUGCACGUGAUCUUCUGUAGAAUAACAUAAAGAAGAAAUCAUCCAAUGUAGAUACCACAAUUUUUUUGCAUAUUUGUUGGAAUUGUUGGGUGGAGCUGCUAAUUUGUGAUCGAAGAUACUGCUGUUGGGAAAAAAAUGUAUGUGCUUCAAGAAAAGGCUGAGACCCUUGUUUAUGGCUAUACAUUGGCAACAGUAAAGUAUGUUCAAUAUAAAACUCUUUCUGGACAGAAUGAAAGAAUCGUCUCCUAAUUUUCAAUAUUGUGAUCACGUUGGUCCCUUAUUAUUUGACCAAUGAAAAACUGACUGCAUGGAAAAACAAGCAGGGCCAGAUGGGCAACUGCAAAGAACAGGCUUUACCUUGAAGACUGUUUCAGACAAAACCAGCUUAUUUAAAAUUAAAAAAUAAAAAUAAAAAUAAAAAAAAAAAAAAAAAAAAAACAAAUAAAAAAGCACUUAUACUUGUCUUGAUUAGACACACAGCUUAAUAAGUCAAAGUUACUACAUUAGGCUGUCAGCUUCUAUGGGGAUUCCGAUUCAGAUGCACUACAGUUGUGUUUUUUUAAUGUGUCACUUCAAUGUCAAAAUCAGGCAAAAAAGGUGUUUGGUUGUUAAUCAGAAAUGUUAAUAAUAUGUUACACUACGAAGUGUGGACUACAUAUUCUCGUGCAGUAGACAGGGAUUUAUUCAUGGACUUAUUCUUAAAAUUCACUGAGUAUCAUAGCAAGUGAACUAGUGGUGGUAGUCUUUGCCUCAUGCAAUGUGUCCUCUGGUAGGUUACAGGGAGUGAGUGGCUCUGUAAUUGUACUUCUGGCCACAAAUAAAACACAACAGAAUUCUGAGUAAGCACCCAGAUAAAUCAAACACAUGGGGUGUUUUGAGAUUUAUGCUAAUCGCUGUGAGAUAAUUCCCAUGUUAAACUAAUUACUAGAGAUAUAAUGAAUGGAUGGUAUAAAUAUAUUAAGAAUCAGAAUAGCAACAAAUCCCUUAUUUUACAACUGCACCGUCUGCCUCAUCUGAUUAACACUAAAGAAAGUUACUUAAAAAAUAAACAAACAAAACAAGAGAGAAACCUGAGUAUGUAUUGUAGAAAUGUAGAAGACAAAUAAAAUAUUUUUUCAAAUGUAAUUACUUUUAAUAUAUGCUUGUGGAAGGUCUAAUACUAUGUAUGCUGUCUCUGUAAUUUUUGCUGUAUAUAACUGGGGACAGUGAAUACACUGAUUUUUUCUAUGUCUCUGUUUAAGCAUAAGACUUUGUAAUGAUUUUUUUUAAAGAGGAAAAACAUCAAAGAGCAAAUUAUGUAAUUGCUUCCUAUAAGUGUAUUGUACUCUUCAGUUUUUAUGGAAACUGAUUGUAAUAGCUAAAGCCUUUUGACCAGCCGUUGAUGUUUAGUGUAUACUUCUGUUUGUAAUGGGGAAAAAAAAAAAAAAAAAAGAAAAAAAAAAGAAAAGAUGGGACUGUCAAUCAAACCUGCUCCCUGUGAGUCUGUACAGUGAGAAUUGUAUUAAUACCUGCAGACUGCAUUUGACUAAUGUGAUUUGAAGAAAGGUUGAUUAAGCUAAUAAUGUUUCCUUACAGCAUAUGGCUUUUAUGAAUUCUUCUGGCAUGGAUUAUAUUAGUAGAAACAUUUUUUCUUUCCAAUGAGCAAAAUAUUUUUGUAUGCUUUUCUUAUUCAAAUCUGAGGUCAGGUCACUCACUCGCUGUAAUCUGAAGCCAUAACUGACCUUCACCAAAUACUUGUUUCAAAAAUCAUAAUAGAAAAUGAAAUUAUGUCCAAUUCAUCAGCAACUAUAAUAACACAGGCAGGAGCAUAAAUAACACAAAAAUUAUUUGGAUGCUUUUCCUGCAUCCCAAUGUGACUUUAAUGGCUAGUAUUUUCUGAUUACCAAUUUAUAAAAAAAAAAGAAAGAAAGAAAGAAAAAAAAAAAAAAAAAAAAAAAAACAUAAUUAAAAUAGAUAUUUAGAUUUAAAUGAAGCUUUCUAAUAUUUUUGAAAUAUCCCUGCAAAUGCUUCCUUGCUUUUAGGAUUAUGAGAGAAACUGAUUUUUCAUAUACUUCCCACUUUCAAAUAUGUAAUUUUUUUUAUUCUAUUUCCAGUUCAUUUUGUUAGAGUGAAAUGAGAUGCUAAGACCCAGAUCUCCAAGCCCUAAGCUGUUUGGUGCUUGGCUGUAGCUACAUUGUUGUAAAUCAAUUUGAUUUGAAUUGGAAGGGAGGGGGAGGGUGUGCUACUUGAGAAGUAUGCUUACCACUGUUGGUAACACACAAGAGUUGCAUUGUCUGAAAAGACAUUUGUUAAAAACAGUAACAACAACAACAAUAAAAUAAAAUUAACGCUCAAAAUGAAUAAUUCUGAAAAGCUGAAUGAAAAUUCCUUUCUAAAAUCAAAUUCCUCAUAGAGUCAACAGUGGGUUGUUUUUUUUUUUGUUUACUUUUGUUUUGUUUUUUUCCUGAAGCUUAAUUGUAUAAUAAUUAUGAUGUAUCUUAACUGGCUUGUAGAUUGAAAAAGCAAAACCACAUAUGAGCAAUGAUAUACUGGGUAAAAAUCUGGCUUAAUUGAAAUCAGUGGUAAAACCCCCAUUGAUUUCUGUGGAACCAGGAGUUCAUCCAGCAUUUCUACAUCUGCAGUUUUCUUCUGAUCUUUAUCCCUUGUUUAAUAUAACCGACCUAAUUUAUGUGUGAGUAAAACUACAGCCUGAUUCAUUUAGAAAGUGACCGUUGAGGGUUUUAUUUUUUAUCACAAAUUUCCUAGGACCAACAUCCCUGUCAAAUGAAAAGGUUCUAUAUUACUUUAGAAUGUAAUAGAUUUUGUCUUAUUUUAUGUCCUGUAAAUUAUUAGUUCAAUACUGUUAGUAUUCCAUAAUAAUGCACACAUGAUUUUUGAAUGUUUUCUGUAAAUGACAAUCAAUGUUGAAGUUCCUUUCUUUAAUGCUGAAGAAAAUUAAAAAAAAAAAAAAAGCAUAAGAAAAAAAAAACUGGUUUGUCACUUUUCUCCCCCUUCCUUUGAAUCACCUGGAUCUGUCAGGAAGAAGUACUGUGUAUGCAUUUUCAAAAGACAAUAGUAAAAAUAAAAACCUAAACAUAAA